rnacentral:pre_miRNA from 1 species
CACUUUGUCCUCUCUACUUUCAUUCAAUCCAUCACGUUAGCCCCUUGACCAUUUCCGUUAAAAAAAUUCCACCUGUUCAUGUGUUUGCCCCUUGACUUGUAAUGAAAUUUUUAGUUUGGCCUCUGUAUGAUAGUGAAGUUUUCACUUUGGCCCCUCAUGUGUUCAGAUUUGAUUGGCUUAAAUGGCCACACGGGAUCUUUUUUAACAGAAAUGGCCAAUAGGCUAAAGUGAUGGACGAAAUGAAAGUAGAGAGGGCAAAGU